UACGUAGGGAGCAAGCGUUAUCCGGAUUUAUUGGGUGUAAAGGGUGCGUAGACGGGAAGUCAAGUUAGUUGUGAAAUCCCUCGGCUCAACUGAGGAACUGCAACUAAAACUAACAUUCUUGAGUGCUGGAGAGGAAAGUGGAAUUCCUAGUGUAGCGGUGAAAUGCGUAGAUAUUAGGAGGAACACCAGUGGCGAAGGCGACUUUCUGGACAGUAACUGACGUUGAGGCACGAAAGUGUGGGGAGCAAACAGG
rnacentral:rRNA from 1 species